rnacentral:sRNA from 1 species
AUCGGUUUGGAAUACAGACCUUAUGAACGCAGUUUUAGUAAAGCAGUCCUCAUUUCAAGUGAUAUCGCCAGAUACUCUUCUUCAUGAGCCUCCUCCUAAGUGCCGCAUAAGUCAAAAUCUGCAAAACAGGCCAUGUUCGCCACGUUAGUGGCUCAAAAAAUGAAAGGAAGUAUCUAUGUCUAACAAAAUGACUGGUUUAGUAAAGUGGUUCAACCCUGAGAAAGGUUUCGGUUUCAUCUCUCCUGAAGAUGGCAGCAAAGACGUGUUCGUACACUUCUCUGCUAUCCAGAGCAACGAUUUCAAAACCCUGGACGAAGGCCAGAAAGUGGAGUUCUCUAUCGAGAACGGCGCUAAAGGUCCAUCAGCUGCCAACGUUGUUGCGCUCUGAUAACCAGCCACUCACCGACGCUUUU